rnacentral:sRNA from 1 species
ACUCAACACUUAUCAAUUAAAAAGGGUGAGUCUAAGUUGUAAAAGCAAGCCGUCUUCGAACGGAUCCUUGAUCAGCUUGUUAGCCCUAAACCUGUUUUAUACGGAGUUU